UGGGGAAUAUUGCACAAUGGGCGCAAGCCUGAUGCAGCCAUGCCGCGUGUAUGAAGAAGGCCUUCGGGUUGUAAAGUACUUUCAGUGAGGAGGAAGGAGUUGUGGUUAAUAACCGCAACGAUUGACGUUACUCGCAGAAGAAGCACCGGCUAACUCCGUGCCAGCAGCCGCGGUAAUACGGAGGGUGCAAGCGUUAAUCGGAAUUACUGGGCGUAAAGCGCACGCAGGCGGUCUGUCAAGUCGGAUGUGAAAUCCCCGGGCUCAACCUGGGAACUGCAUCCGAAACUGGCAGGCUAGAGUCUUGUAGAGGGGGGUAGAAUUCCAGGUGUAGCGGUGAAAUGCGUAGAGAUCUGGAGGAAUACCGGUGGCGAAGGCGGCCCCCUGGACAAAGACUGACGCUCAGGUGCGAAAGCGUGGGGAGCAAACA
rnacentral:rRNA from 1 species